ensembl:lncRNA
GGGGAACAAAUUGGCAAAAUAUAUUUGAUGCAGGAAACAUUUGAAGAGUUAUGACAGGAAACAGUUCUGGUAGCACACUCAUCCAUCCACUAAUUAUCAGACAUAUGUGCCAUAAUGUACCACCCGCGGCAAUAAAUACCAGUGUUGAAUUUAUUUUAAAAGAGAGCAUUGAAUUUAUGACUACAUAUCCACAUCAGUGGGGAAUGCAGAGUACUUUGAAACAACAAAACACACACACACUUAAGAAUAAAAGCUCUAAUUAUGCUCUUAAUGUUUUAAAAACUUGUAUUUUGGAAUACUAAAACUCUUAAUAGUAAUAGUAUUGUGCUCUACCAUAACAUACACCAAGCCUAGAGUGACAACAACCAAGUUAUGUCCUUGUAUCUCCAUGGUCAAGUUGGAGGAGUUUAUGGAAAUAUACGUCAGAGAUAGUAAAUAUGAGGGUUACUAUAAAGCUGACUGCUCUCUGACCAUUGACAGAAACUUAAACAACCGUCACAGAGGCCACUUACAUGCUGUACAAAGGUACAAAUCUCAUUUCCCUCUGCCUUGCGUCACAACUGGAACUCACUUAUCAGUGAAGCAUGACCAUUACACUGUUAUCGCCAAUGUUGUGUUUAAUACUUGCUGAUUUGUGUUUUAAUAUGUCACCCAAAGAUGCGCGGAACAGUUACAGGAUGUUUGAUGCUGGUGUGUGUUGUUGCUCUUCUGGCUGAGCAGGCAGAGGGACACAUCGCCUUCUUCAGCCCUAAAGAGAUGAGAGAGCUCAGGGAGAAGGAGGGAAGGAAGGAUGCUGAUCCACGAGCAGAGGAGGUUUUGAUUGAUGAGAUGUCUCCACAGUCAGCGGUGAGGAAUCCCUGCAUGUUUUUAAUGCAUUUCAUAAUGUAUUUGAGUUUCUUAUUGGAUUGUUUCCAUCUGAAGGGCCAGCCUGUGGAAAUAGGGCUAAAGCUUACUGCUAAAAAGGGCCAAAUUGGAUCUGCUUUCGGGAAGAUGCUGCAGAGCAUCAUAGAAGAGCCAGAGACCGUGAAAUAA